rnacentral:rRNA from 1 species
UUGAGCGGAGAUAUAUGGAGCUUGCUUUAUAUAACUUAGCAGCGAACGGGUGAGUAACACGUAGAUAAUCUAUCCUAUACUGGGGGAUAGCCCGAUGAAAGUUGGAUUAAUACCGCAUAUAGCUAUAUAGUUGCAUGAUUAUGUAGUGAAAGAUUUAUUGGUAUAGGAGGAGUCUGCGGCACAUUAGCUAGUAGGUGAGGUAAAGGCUUACCUAGGCGACGAUGUGUAGCCGGUCUGAGAGGAUGAACGGCCACAAUGGAACUGAGACACGGUCCAUACUCCUACGGGAGGCAGCAGUGGGGAAUAUUGCACAAUGGGGGAAACCCUGAUGCAGCAACGCCGCGUGAGUGAAGAAGGUUUUCGGAUUGUAAAGCUCUGUUAGCAGGGAAGAGGAAGGACGGUACCUGCAGAGGAAGCCACGGCUAACUACGUGCCAGCAGCCGCGGUAAUACGUAGGUGGCAAGCGUUGUUCGGAAUAACUGGGCGUAAAGGAUGCGUAGGCGGUUAAACAAGUUAUAUGUUAAAUAUAUAGGCUUAACCUGUAGAAAGCAUAUAAAACUGUUUAACUAGAGUGCAGGAGAGGUAAGUGGAAUUCCUAGUGUAGCGGUGAAAUGCGUAGAGAUUAGGAAGAACACCAGUGGCGAAGGCGACUUACUGGACUGUAACUGACGCUGAGGCAUGAGAGCAUGGGGAGCAAACAGGAUUAGAUACCCUGGUAGUCCAUGCUGUAAACGAUGGGUACUAGGUGUGGGUUGUGAAUAACAAUUCGUGCCGUCGCAAACGCAAU